CACGCGUCGCAACCGAGCUUCGUCCUCUCGUUAAUUGCAGUUAAUUAGAAUAUUUUAUCCAACGUACGCUCUAAUUUUGUAUAUCGAUCGAACGUCGAAAACGCUAUUUCCACGGGUGAAUUUAUUAACAUCGAUCACGCUCAACUACGAAAUAUAUUCUGCUGCGUUCCUUAACCUAACAACCAUACAAGCCAUCGUUAUUUUCGAUUAUACAAUGGAAGAACUACGACGUUCGCAUUUUCGUCAUCAAUUUUACUUAUUUACAAUGAGAAAUGAUGUUGGACACACGACAACGACGACUGAUCGAAACUUUACAAGCACGUGGGGAAGCCAUUGGAAAGAUGACGUAAUAUGUACGUACGACGGUCCACAUCGUUCUUGCUGCCGCUUACUCCGCCAUUCUGAAUUAUUUCGUGGCGUUUGUCGCAAGCCAGCUUCGUCCUCUCGUUGACUGCAGAAUGGGAGAGGUACGACGUCUGGAUUUUCGUCUUCAAUUUUACUUAUUUACAAUGAGAAAUGGUGUUGGACACACGACGACGAGUGAUCGAAACAACAAGCACGUGGGGAAGCCAUUGCAAAGCUGACGUAACGCGCAUGCUCGACGAUACAGCUUCCUUGUUGCCGCUUAAUCCGCCAUUCUGAAUCAGUUCGUGGCACGUGUCCCAACCAAGCUUCGUCCUCUCGUUAAUUGCAGGAUGGAAGAGGUACGAUGUUCGGAUUAUCAAUUUUACUUACGUACGAUAAGAAGUGAUAUUCGAUACAGGACGACGAGUGGGCGUAGAUUCUGUAAAUUUGUUCGUCAGCGUUAACAACACAGUGUGGCCCAUGUCCCUAGAAAGAAGCAAGAUUGAUUUGGCUAGAGUUCAACAGAGUAGACGUCUUCCGUUUAAGUUUAUACAUUCAUUCUUCGAUUAAGCAGUGUUCUUUCAGCGAAACUUCUUUUAGUAAUUUGCCGUCAGAGUAUAUUUUUUGUUCGAUUGUACAUUUUUUGGGAAGUGCGUUUUAUAUACGUGGAAUAGUUGAUAAUUCGGAAUUCAUUCAAAUUGAUUAACGUUGAUGUAACAUUAUUUCUUUAAUUUUACAUUAGUGGAUUUUAUAUGGAUUCUUUCAACCUUCAUCGUCGUCAUGUGAUUAAUAAUCGACAUCAUCAGGAUAGGGAGGAGUUGUGCACGGUCGUCACCGCGCAGUUGAAUCUUUCUAGACGCAACCCACUUUUUAUCGAGCACUUGUUUAUGGUCGAGAUUUGUCUCGUACCAUUUUCUGUGCAUUUACGCUGGUUGCUCUGCCUUCGUCCAGCAUUAUAAAAUAACCGAGGACAUUCUACUCUCCUCCUUAUUUUUUAGACCUGCUUCAGAUGUCGUUAAUUGAUCUCACGUCGAGGACGAUCGAUGGGAAAAUCUAUGUACGCGAACGCGCUUAAUCUACAUUAUUUUAACGAGUCGACGUCCGUCUUGGAAUAUCACUGCGAAAUAAAAAUUGUAGACUUUUCGUUGAUAGUACAUGACAGAACGAAUACUGCUUAAAUCACGGAGUGGAUGUAUCAUUCGACGGAUCGUUUCCUGAUUGCUGUAAUGCGGUUGACAGUUCUUUAGCCCACGUGGGGAAGCCAUUGCAAAGGUGACGUAAUGCGCAAGCGCGGCGGUCCACAGCCCCCUUACUGCCUCAGAAUCCUCGUUGAUUGCAGAAUGGAAGAGGUAGGACGUCCAGAUUUUCGUCAUCAAUUUUACUUAUUUACAAUAAUAAAUGGUGUUCGACACACAACAACGACUGGAUGUAGACGUGAUUUCUUUCGUUAUUGUUGACAUUACAUCGUGGCUAGUUUUCUUAAAAAUAAGCAAGAUGAAUUUAGUUACAUUCGAACAGAAUUGACAUCUUGACAGUACGAACGCUACUUAAAUCGUGGAAGGAAGCGUUCCUUGAUCUAACAACCAGCUAAGGAAUCAUUAUUUUCGAUGAUAGAAAGAAAGAAGUAUAAAGUUCAAAAUUUUCGUCAUCAGUUUUACUUAUCUAUGAUAAGCAAUGGUAUUGGACACAGGACGACAACUGAUAAGCAAUAGUUGACAUAUAUUAUUAUUUAUUUUCACGUUACCCUUUACGAUAACGUUUAGCUAAUUCUACAUUUAUUUUUUCAGGGUAUAGGCAUUGCGAUUUCGUCCGUUAUUGUUAACAAUGCAUCGUGGCCCGUGUUCCUUGAAAUAAGCAUGGUGAAUUUAGUUACAGUCGAACAGAAUUGACAUCUGUUUACACAUUCAUUCUUCGAUUAAACAGUGUUCUGUUAACGAUACUUUUACAUCGGAGUAUAUUUUUCUUCCGAUUACAUUUUUCAUUUAAUAUACAUCGAGUAGCUGAUAAUUCAAAGUUUAUUCAAGUUGGAUAACGUUAUCGUAACUUCAUUCCUUUAAUCGAUGAAAAAAUCUAUGUAAGCGAACGCGUCUUAAAUAACACUAUUUCAACGAAUCAUAUGGUCUCUCUUGAAAUAUCGCUGCGAAAUAGAAACGAUAGGCUUUUCGUCGAUAGUAUACGACAGAACGAACACUGCUUAAAUCGAAAUAUAUGUGUUAAUUGGGUCGUGGAUUCCCGGAUAGCAGUUCCUAAGUAUCACGCUCGUUAGAGCAAGAUGGUUCUUUAUUCUCUUGUCUGAUGAGGAAUACUUAACAUUUUGAUAUUUUUAUUAUAACACUAUUUUUAUUAACUUUGUUAAUUUUUUUUUUUUUUCUUUUAGGAAGCCUAUGUUGUAAUUUCGUUCUACUGUUUGGAUACGGAUAAAAGAACAAUUCAACGCUCUAGUUGGAAAUGGUCUUUGUAAAAUUGCGACUCACGGAAAGCCUCCUUCCUCUAGGAUCUAUCAUGAAUAUGAAGAUGAGAGAGGAAAGAAAAGGAGCCAGGAAGAUGCGAUGGAAGCAAUAACGAAGGAUGGAAUCUUGAAGAAUCUUCCAUUGGGUUAAAAUCAGCAAGAAAACAACGCUUCCUUCAUUUUACCGAACCGAAAGAAGACUCGCCUCUCCUUCGUGCGUAUUGCUUCUUUAAAUCUGCUUAAGCUCCAACGUUCUACGUAAUUCUCGGCGAUUUUGCGCACCCCUAAGCGUUUCUGCGUGACACCCUAAGCGAUCCUGCGAUACCCUGAGCAUUUCUGCGAUACCCUGAGCGUUUCUGCGACACCCUGAGCGUUUCUGCGACACCCUGAGCGUUUCUGCGACACCCCGAGCGUUUCUGCGACACCCCGAGCGUUUCUGCGACACCCCGAGCGUUUCUGCGACACCCCGAGCGUUUCUGCGACACCCCGAGCGUUUCUGCGACACCCCGAGCGUUUCUGCGACACCCCGAGCGUUUCUGCGACACCCCGAGCGUUUCUGCGACACCCCGAGCGUUUCUGCGACACCCCGAGCGUUUCUGCGACACCCCGAGCGUUUCUGCGACACCCCGAGCGUUUCUGCGACACCCCGAGCGUUUCUGCGACACCCCGAGCGUUUCUGCGACACUACCUUGAGCGUACCUUGGAUACCCUAAGCGAUCUUGCAUGAUACCCUGAGCGUUUCUGCGACACCCUCAGCGUACCUGCGCAAUCCCUAACGUCGUAUUCUGUUCAAUUCUCAGCGUUUUGCGUAACCACCAGCAUUUCAAACGAUUCCCCUGCUUUAGUCUUGCGCAUAAUUGCGAUGUUUUACGAAAAAUUACAAGAUAGAAACAAAUUUGUUAGAAUCAUUGUUAUAAUAUUGUUGGAGUUUAUAGAGCGUUGAAAAAAUGAAACUUCAAUUGGAAGGUAGUACAUCAGUUGAUUUUUUCUUUCCGGAAUGUUAACAUAAAAUUGUUUUAUACUUCACAAGAUAUUACGUGCGGUGCAACGUUUAAGCGGUUGUAUUAUUGUUUAAAUCUUAUUUUAUAUCGACCAAUCGUAUAUUAUAGAUUCUUUAAAUAAUUGUAAAGUGAUAGAAAGCAUACAUAAACUUGGGUGCGUUAAGAAAACUAUUAUUUAAGUAUAAUUUUAUAUCGAACAAACGUAUAUUGUAAACCGUUUAAAUAAUUGUAUAGUGAUAAGAAGCGUAUAUAAACAAUGGUGCGUUGAGAAAAAUAUUUAAAUAUAAUUUUAACUCGAGUAAACGUAUAGUAUAGAAUGUUCAAAUAAUUAGUUAAACUAAUAGAAAGUAUACAUAAAUUCUGAUGCGUUGAGAGAAUUAUCGUUUAAUUAUAAUUUUAUACCGAACAAACGUAUAUUGUAAAAUUGUUUAAAUAAUUGUAAAGUGAUAGAAAGCAUACAUAAAUUUGAUGCGUUAAGAGAAUUUUAGACCACCGUUGGGCGUAUCGAAAACCGUCGUCCAGUAUUUAUCCGUAACAACAAACAUCUUUUUAGACAAUUCUUAGGAUAUCGCGUGACCCCAGCUUCGCGAAUAAUUGAAAUGCUCAUAUACUAAAAAAGAAAAAAUAUUUUUAUCAUUGUAAUAAGAAAGCGUCGAAAAAAAAGGAAGGCAGUAUGUAAGCAGAUUUCUGUUCUGCGAAACGUUCGAUUAAAAUUAUUUUCUACGUACUACGAGCGGUAUAAAGCUUGAGCGGCGGGGUUGUAUUCUGUAAAUAUUAGUUUGAUACUACCGAGCGUACAUAUGUAGCGUACAUUGCUUAAAUGAUUGUAAAACGACAAAAAAUAAAAAUGAUCUAGGUUUAGCGCGGUUCAACGCGGUCCAACGCGUGUACCGGAAAUUUUAGGGCAUGGUAGAGCGUUUCAACUACCGUGAAUCCAUUCGUGCGUAAUUAAGCGUGUUGCGUAAUUCCGAACAGAUUGGCGUAACCCUUAGAAAUAUUGCGUAAACCCCUAACCCUUAUUUAGGUAAAUUCUCUGGCUCUGCCAGACGCAACGCAGCGAUUUCGCCCACUACGUGGUUUGGCGUAAGUAUCCAUUUGGCAAGGUAUGGUUUUUUUACACGUAAGUCCUAUCGAUUUUUCGCAACGUCCGACGUGGACACCCAGAGUUUUGUCUUUUUCAGGUUAUCUGCAACCUCGGAGUUAUUUAUUUACCUACAUACUAUCGAGAUUACUGAAGCGAUGGUAUUUUUUUUGCAUGAUGUUAAGGGCAUUGCGUCGUUUUGAACGAAUGCGCGUAAUCAGUAGUUUUUUUUUUUUUGUAUGAAGCCCACCGUAUCUAUAUAAUCCUUACAAAUUUUGUGUAAACCUUUGCGUGUAUUCAGCCGAACUUCUGUGGUCUAACUUCGGUGUAAUCCAGACGCGACCCAACGAUUUGCAGUAAGUAUUUUUCUCACUUAAUGCCUUUAUGUUCGUUCCGUAAUUCUACGCGUGUUGCGUAAAUUGCAUAGUAUCUGCAACCCGCAGCUCAUUUUCCUAGGUACCAGCGAAGUUAUUUAAACUGCGGCAUUUUUUUUUCAUAGUUCGGGAUAUUUUCGUUUUAUCCGAAGAAUCCGCGUUUUUAUAUAGCCUAACGUCUCUGUGUAAACCGUGGCGUGUAUUUAGCUUCAUUUUAGCGUGUCUACUUAACUCUAACGUUUCCACAUUAUCACUUAGUUAUCGACCAUAUUUUUUUUUUUUUAACGUGAUCUCUAAUCGUCGCGUAAUUCUUCGCGUAUAUAGUAAUUUGGAGGGUAUUUAGAGCCCUAGCUUAUUUUCCAUGAUACUGGAUGGGUUACUUACCCGACAGAAUAUUUGCAUAGUCCCAGGGGUACUUCCGAUGAAUCGUUGCAAUGUCCAACUUCUUUACAACGCCAAGCGAUUUUGCGAAACCUUUGCACGAUUUGAAAGCCCUAGUGUAACGUAGCGUAACGUAUUUUUACAUAACGAUCCCGAGAUUUGUCGAAAGUACUUUUUUCUUUUUUCAUAAUGCUUGUCGGAGGUUUUUCUUUUUGACAUUCUUAACAGCUGCGUUAUUCGUAGAAUACUCUAAGCAGCUUAUUUUCGUAGAUACUAGCUAGGUUAUUGAAACGACAGCAUUUUUUCUUUUUUCUUUUUUAUAAUUCGUAGGGCACUCGUUAGAUCCGACGAAUCUGCGUAAAUACUAGGGUUUUACUCGUAGAUGACCGUGUACUUUCAUGUGUAUCUGCAACUAUCAGCUUAUUAAUCGAAGAUAUUACCGAGGUUAUAUGAUCGACUGCAUUUAUUUUGCAUAAUCUGUGGGGCACUCGCGUUAUUUCCGAAGAAUCUGCGUAAAUACUAGGGUUUUCAGGAAAUUCAGCGUUUCUGUGUAAUCCUUGUAGAUUUGGCGUCGGUAAUAGGGCGUAUUAGGUAGCCUCCGAGAAUGCGGCGUAAUCCGAUUGUUUCCGCGUUACCACCCUGUGAUUUCGCGUAAGUACUUGCAUUUAUACGUAAUACUUGUGUAAAUUCCUGUCGGUUUUCGAUAACUCGUGGAUGACCGUGUAGUUCCCGUGUAUUUACAACUGUCGGCUUAUUAAUCGAAGAUAUUACCGAGGUUAUAUGAUCGACUGCAUUUUUUUUGCAUAAUCUGUGGGGCACUCGCGUUAUUUCCGAAGAAUCUGCGUAAAUACUAGGGUUUUCAGGAAAUGCAGCGUUUCUGUGUAAUCCUUGUAGAUUUGGCGUCGGUAAUAGGGCGUAUUUAGGUAGCCUCCGAGAAUGCGGCGUAAUCCGAUUGUUUCCGCAUUACCACCCUGUGAUUUCGCGUAAGUACUUGCCUUUGUACGUAAUACUUGUGUAAAUUCCUGUCGGUUUUCGAUAACUCGUAGAUGACCGUGUAGUUCCCGUGUAUUUACAACUGUCGGCUUAUUAAUCGAAGAUAUUACCGAGGUUAUAUGAUCGACUGCAUUUUUUUUUUUGCAUAAUCUGAGGGGCACUCGCGUUAUUUCCGACGAAUCUGCGUAAAUACUAGGGUUUUCAGGAAAUGCAGCGUUUCUGUGUAAUCCUUGUAGAUUUGGCGUCGGUAAUAGGGCGUAUUUAGGUGGCCUCCGAGAAUGCGGCGUAAUCUGAUUCUUUCCGCAUUACCACCCUGUGAUUUCGCGUAAGUACUUGCCUUUGUACGUAAUACUUGUGUAAAUUCCUGUCGGUUUUCGAUAACUCGUAGAUGACCGUGUAGUUCCCGUGUAUUUACAACUGUCGGCUUAUUAAUCGAAGAUAUUACCGAGGUUAUUUUAUCGACUGCAUUUUUUUUUUUGCAUAAUCCGCGGGGCACUCGUUAUAUCCGACGAAUUUGCGUAACUACUAGCAUUUUCAUAAAGUCCGGCAUUUCUGCGUAACCUACAGAUUUUACAAAAAUCUAAGUACGCAAUCUACAGCGUGCGACAUAACCCCACUGUCUUCGCUUUACCAUCCGGUGAUUAGAAGUAUUUGUCCGUUUUCUUUUUAGGUAAUCCCUCGGUUUUUCAAUAAUUCCUAACGUACCGACGUAGUUCCUAGGUUUAUCAGCAAUACCCAGGUUAUUUUCUUAGAUACUAGCGAGGUUACUUAAACGAUAUUUUUGUCCUCCGAGCUUUCUCCGUAAUCUCAUUUUUUUCCGCAUAACCAUCUCGUGAUUUCGCUCAAGUAUAUUGUUUUUCCGUAAUGGAUGUCGAUUUUUCCUAACUCCUAGAUGACCGUGUAAUUUCCAGGAUAUCUGUAACGAUCAGCUUAUUAAUUCUAGAUAUUAACGAGGUUAUUUAGUCGAUAGCAUUUUUGAAUAGUCCCUGAGGCGGUUGCAUUAUUUACGUAGACUAUACGAACUACCAGCAUCUUUAUAAAGCUCAUCGUUUCUGGGUAACCCUUACAGAUUUUGGCUUAUCCGACUGGCGAUUUGAAGUAAGUAUUUGUGCUUUAUUUUUUAUUCUUAUGUAAUAUCUGUCUUCAAUAAUUACUAAUAUACCGACGUAAUUUCUAGGUUAUCCGUAGUACCCAUCUUAUUUCCCUAGAUUCUAGAGAGGUUACUUAAACGACAACAUCGUUGCAUAAUCCCAGGGGCAUAUUCGUUAUUUCUUACGAAUCAAGUAACGACCAGCGUCUUCAUAAAGUGCAGCAUUUCUGUAUAUCCUCAUAGAUUUGUCGUCAAUCCUAGAACGUAUUUAGGUGGCCUCCGAGCGUCAGGCGUAACGUCAUAGUGUCCGCAUAAGCGAAUAAAUUUGUUUUUACCUAA